CUGUGCCUGUGUGUGUGUGUGUGUGUGUGUUACAGGGUCAGGUGAUGACACCAGGUCCUGGGGUCCCCCGUUUGUCGGAGCAGAGAGUGUUUACUUCCUCAGCGUCAACCGCAACAAGAAAAGUAUCUGUGUUGACUUGAAACAUCCGAGAGGAGCCAGAAUCAUCCAGGAGCUAGCAGCAGUGUGUGAUGUCCUGGUGGAGAACUUCCUCCCUGGGAGUCUCCCCCGGAUGGGUCUGGGCUACGAGCAGCUGAGCCGAGUGAACCCCCGCCUCAUCUACUGCUCCAUAUCAGGUGAUUACUCUGAGCCAAUCACAGUCACCG